GUCUGUGAGUGUGUGUCUGUGUGUGUGUCUGUGAGUGUGUGAGUAUGUGUCUGUGAGUGUGUGUCAGUGUGUGUCUGUGAGUGUGUGUCAGUGUGUGUCUGUAAGUGUGUGAGUAUGUGUCUGUGAGUAUGUGUGUCAGUGAGUGUGUGAGUAUGUGUCAGUGUGUGAGUGUGUGUGUGUGUCAGUGAGUGUGUGAGUGUGUGAGUAUGUGUCUGUGAGUGUGUGUGUCAGUGAGUGUGUGAGUAUGUGUCAGUGUGUGUGUCUGUGAGUGUGUGAGUAUGUGUGUGUGAGUCUGUGAGUGUGUGUCAGUGUGUGUCUGUGAGUGUGUGAGUAUGUGAGUGUGUGUGUGUGUGUCUGUGAGUGUGUGAGUAUGUGUGUGUCAGUGUGUGUGAGUGUGUGU